rnacentral:rRNA from 1 species
UCGAACGAACCUUCGGGUUAGUGGCGGACGGGUGAGUAACGCGUGAGAAUCUGCCCUCAGGAGGGGGAUAACGGUUGGAAACGACCGCUAAUACCCCAUAUGCCUACUGGUGAAACGAAUUUCGCCUGAGGAUGAGCUCGCGUCUGAUUAGCUAGUUGGCGAGGUAAUGGCUCACCAAGGCUUCGAUCAGUAGCUGGUCUGAGAGGAUGAUCAGCCACACUGGGACUGAGACACGGCCCAGACUCCUACGGGAGGCAGCAGUGGGGAAUUUUCCGCAAUGGGCGAAAGCCUGACGGAGCAACGCCGCGUGAGGGACGAAGGCCUCUGGGCUGUAAACCUCUUUUCUCAAGGAAGAAGAUAUGACGGUACUUGAGGAAUAAGCCACGGCUAAUUCCGUGCCAGCAGCCGCGGUAAUACGGGAGUGGCAAGCGUUAUCCGGAAUUAUUGGGCGUAAAGCGUCCGCAGGCGGCUUUUCAAGUCUGCUGUUAAAACGUGGAGCUUAACUCCAUCAUGGCAGUGGAAACUGAAAGGCUUGAGUAUGGUAGGGGCAGAGGGAAUUCCCGGUGUAGCGGUGAAAUGCGUA